rnacentral:rRNA from 1 species
AAGUCGUAACAAGGUUUCCGUAGGUGAACCUGCGGAAGGAUCAUUAAUGAAUAUCUAUGGCGUUGGUUGUAGCUGGCUUCUAGGAGCAUGUGCACACCCGUCAUUUUUAUCUUUCCACCUGUGCACUAAAUGUAGAUCUGGAUAACUCUCGCUCUCACGAGCGGAUGCAAGGACUGCUGUGUCGCAAGACCGGCUCUCCUUGAACUUCCAGGUCUAUGUAUCCCUUACACACCCCAAUUGAAUGAUGAAGAAUGUAGUCAAUGGGCUUCAAAGCCUAUAAAACAAAAUACAACUUUCAGCAACGGAUCUCUUGGCUCUCGCAUCGAUGAAGAACGCAGCGAAAUGCGAUAAGUAAUGUGAAUUGCAGAAUUCAGUGAAUCAUCGAAUCUUUGAACGCACCUUGCGCUCCUUGGUAUUCCGAGGAGCAUGCCUGUUUGAGUGUCAUUAAAUUCUCAACUUCACCAGUUUCUUAUGAGACUGUGUGAGGCUUGGAUGUGGGGGUUUGUGCAGGCUGCCUCAGCGUGGUCUGCUCCCCUGAAAUGCAUUAGCGAGUUACAACUGGGCUCCGUCUAUUGGUGUGAUAAUUAUCUACGCCGUGGAUUGGGCUUAGACUUGCUUCUAACCGUCUGCAAGGACAAUCUUUUGACAANUUGACCUCAAAUCAGGUAGGACUACCCGCUGAACUUAAGCAUAUCNAUAAGCGGAGGAAAAGAAACUNACAAGGAUUCCCCUAGUAACUGCGAGUGAAGCGGGAAAAGCUCAAAUUUAAAAUCUGGUGGUCUUCGGNCAUCCGAGUUGUAAUCUAGAGAAGUGUUACCCGCGUCGGACCGUGUACAAGUCUCCUGGAAUGGAGCGUCAUAGAGGGUGAGAAUCCCGUCUUUGACACGGACUACCGAGGCUUUGUGGUGCGCUCUCAAAGAGUCGAGUUGUUUGGGAAUGCAGCUCAAAAUGGGUGGUAAAUUCCAUCUAAAGCUAAAUAUUGGCGAGAGACCGAUAGCGAACAAGUACCGUGAGGGAAAGAUGAAAAGAACUUUGGAAAGAGAGUUAAACAGUACGUGAAAUUGCUGAAAGGGAAACGCUUGAAGUCAGUCGCGUUGGCCGGAAAUCAGCCUUGCUUUUGCGGGGUGUACUUUCUGGUUGACGGGCCAGCAUCAGUUUUGAUCGGUGGAAAAAGUCCAAGGGAAUGUGGCAUCUUCGGAUGUGUUAUAGCCCUUGUUCGUAUACAUCGGUUGGGACUGAGGAACUCAGCACGCCGAAAGGCCGGGUCUUUGACCACGUUCGUGCUUAGGAUGCUGGCAUAAUGGCUUUAAUCGACCCGUCUUGAAACACGGACC